rnacentral:rRNA from 1 species
ACGCCCGCUCAAGAAACUUAAAGGAAUUGACGGGGCCCGCACAAGCGGAGGAGCAUGUGGUUAAUUCGAUGAUACGCGAGGAACCUUACCUGGGCUCGAACGUAAGAUGACUGUAGGUGAAAGCUUACAUCUCUUCGGAGCAUUUUACGAGGUGCUGCAUGGUUGUCGUCAGCUCGUGCCGUGAGGUGUCGGGUUAAGUCCCAUAACGAGCGCAACCCCUACCUUUAGUUGCCAUCAGGUAAUGCUGGGGACUCUAAAGGAACUGCCUACGCAAGUAGUGAGGAAGGCGGGGAUGACGUCAAAUCAGCACGGCCCUUACGUCCAGGGCUACACACGUGCUACAAUGGCCGAUACAGAGGGCAGCUACCUGGUGACAGGAUGCAAAUCUCCAAAGUCGGUCUCAGUUCGGAUCGGAGUCUGCAACCCGACUCCGUGAAGUUGGAUUCGCUAGUAAUCGCGCAUCAGCCAUGGCGCGGUGAAUACGUUCCCGGGCCUU